UACGAACCGUGCGAACGUUGUUCGGAAUCACUGGGCUUAAAGGGCGCGUAGGCGGGCUGCCAAGUCUGGGGUGAAAUCCCACGGCUCAACCGUGGAACUGCCUCGGAUACUGGCGGGCUCGAGGGAGGUAGGGGCAUGCGGAACUGUGGGUGGAGCGGUGAAAUGCGUUGAUAUCCACAGGAACUCCGGUGGCGAAGGCGGCAUGCUGGACCUCUUCUGACGCUGAGGCGCGAAAGCCAGGGGAGCAAACGGG
rnacentral:rRNA from 1 species